UACGGAGGGAGCUAGCGUUGUUCGGAUAUACUGGGCGUAAAGCGCACGUAGGCGGCGCAGCAAGUCAGGGGUGAAAUCCCGGAGCUCAACUCCGGAACUGCCUUUGAAACUGCAGUGCUAGAAUCCUGGAGAGGCGAGUGGAAUUCCGAGUGUAGAGGUGAAAUGCGCAGAUAUCAGGAAGAACACCCGUGGCGAAGGCGGCUCUCUGGAACGCAACUGACGCUGAGACGCGAAAGCGUGGGGAGCAAACAGG
rnacentral:rRNA from 1 species